UGAGGUGAUUGUAGAACGCAAUCACGUUAAACUAAAGAAAGUUCAAUCGGU
ncrna:unclassified sequences 6A RNA